rnacentral:rRNA from 1 species
GAGACUCUGUGCGCGUGCAUAUCAAUAAGCGGAGGAAAAGAAACUAACAAGGAUUCCCCUAGUAACGGCGAGUGAAGCGGGAAGAGCUCAAAUUUGAAAUCUUAAAGGUUUUCCCUUGACGAAUUGUAGUUUAAAGAAGUGUUUUCUGUUGAGGUUUCGGUAAAAGUUCUUUGGAAUAGGACAUCAUAGAGGGUGAGAAUCCCGUAUUUGACCAUUACUUUUCCAGCUGUGUGAUACACUUUCAAAGAGUCGGAUUGUUUGGGAAUGCAGUCCAAAAUGGGUGGUAAAUUUCAUCUAAAGCUAAAUAUUGGCGAGAGACCGAUAGCGAACAAGUACCGUGAGGGAAAGAUGAAAAGAACUUUGAAAAGAGAGUUAAACAGUACGUGAAAUUGUCAAAAGGGAAGCGUUUGACACCAGUGUUGUUUUUCGAAAAUCAAUUACGAAUAGUUUUUGAUUCUAAGUAGUAUUGACUUCAUCAGCUUGCUGCUUUCUUCUCAGAAAUUAUUGAAUGCACUUUUCAGUUAACAAGUCAACAUCAAUUUCUUUUGUUGUAAAAGGGUAAGAGGAAGGUGGCUUACGCUUCGGCGUAAGUGUUUAUAGCCUUUUACCUCUGCAAUCGGAGAGAUUGAGGACAGCAGCGUAGACUCUUCGGGGUUAGAUACACUUGUGCUAAGCUAUAGCCUUGUAUAGACAACUUGUUGACUAUGCUCAGUCAUGUAGCUUACUCGCUUGUGCUAUUUUACCUACGCUUAGGAUGUUGACAGCAGUAUAGACUGU